rnacentral:tRNA from 1 species
GAGGGUACAGCUCAGUGACAGAGUGCCUGCUUAGCAAGCACGAGGUCCUGGGUUCAAUCCCCAGUAUCCCA